ACAGGACUUGUGAUGUAGAUCGUCGUCAUUUUUGUUUCACAAACAAGGAAGGAGAAUCUCAGAGAUUCCGUAAACUCCAUAAAGCGGUGAUUCAUGACAGAAGCAGGGACGCAACUUCGACCAGUUGUGAAGGAUCAAACCCAGGACCGUGUUCAGGCUAAGCAAGCAUCCAACCACUGCGCUACAUCAGAAGCCCUUUUUUUGUGACUGGCUCUCUCUAUGUAAAGCUGACCUUGAACUUCCUCUGUACUCCACAUUGACCUGGAAACUGUCCUCUCUCUACCUACAUAGUGCUUGGAUUAUAGCUGUGACCACCUCAGAAGGUAUCAAGAAGCAAAGUGAAUACCAUGGGGAACAGUUCACAGUAAUUCCAGUUAGGAGCCUAAGAAAGAAGACUGCCAGAGCCUGACAAAUACAGAUGCGGAUGCUCACAGCCAAUCAUUGAACUGAGCACGGGGACCACAUGGAGGAGUUAGAAAGAACUGAAGAAGCUGAAGGGGUUUGCAACUCCAUAGGAAGAACAACAAUGUGAACUAACCAGACCCACCAGAGCUCCCAGGAACUAAACCGCCAACCAAAGUGUACACAUGGAGGGACGCAUGGCUCCAGCCGCAUAUGUAGCGAGGAUGGCCUUGUCAGGCAUCAAUGGGAGGGGAGGCCCUUGGUCCUGAGAAAGCUUGAUGCCCCAGUGUAGGGGAAUGCCAGGGCAGGGAGGCGGGAGUGGGUGGGUGGGUGGUGGAGCACCCUCACAGAAGCAGGGAGAGGGAGGAUGGGAUAGGGGAUUUCCAGAGGGGAAACCAGGAAAGGGGAUUACAUUUGAAACGUAAAUAAAGAAAAUAUCCAAU
rnacentral:lncRNA from 1 species